CGGGUGGCGAGCCGCCCGGAGGAGGACGCGCAGCGCGUGGCCCUGCGGCGCGUCACGUGCAGCGUCGGCGGCCAUGGCGGGAAGCGAGCCCCGCAGCGGAGGCAGCGCCCCGCCGCCGCACCACAGCGACUGGAGCCGGCUGGAGGCCGCCAUCCUCAGCGGCUGGAGGAACUUCUGGCAGUCGGUGGGCAAGGAGAGGGCAGCGCCGAGGGCCUCCCAAGAGGAGGCGGACGAGGAGGCCAGUACCCUGACGCGGCUGCCGAUUGACGUACAGCUAUAUAUUUUGUCAUUUCUUUCACCUCAUGAUCUGUGUCAGUUGGGAAGUACCAGCCAUUAUUGGAAUGAAACUGUACGAGAUCCAAUUCUGUGGAGAUAUUUUCUGCUGCGGGAUCUUCCUUCUUGGUCUUCCGUUGACUGGAAGUCUCUUCCAGAUCUAGAAAUCUUAAAAAAGCCUAUAUCUGAGGUCACUGAUGGUGCAUUUUUUGACUACAUGGCAGUCUAUAAAAUGUGCUGUCCAUAUACAAGAAGAUCCUUGAAAUCUAGCCGUCCUAUGUAUGGAGCUGUCACGUCAUUUUUACACUCAUUGAUCAUUCAGAAUGAACCACGAUUUGCUAUGUUUGGACCAGGUUUGGAAGAACUGAAUACAUCUUUGGUGUUGAGCUUGAUGUCUUCUCAGGAGCUUUGCCCAACAGCUGGCUUGCCUCAGAGGCAGAUUGAUGGUAUUGGAUCAGGAGUCAGUUUUCAGUUGAGCAACCAACAUAAAUUCAACAUCCUGAUAUUAUAUUCCACUACCAGAAAGGAAAGAGAUAGAGCAAGAGAAGAACAUACAAGUGCUGUUAACAAGAUGUUCAGUCUACAGAAUGAAGGAGAUGAUCAGCAAGGAAGCCGGUAUAGUGUAAUUCCACAAAUUCAGAAGGUGUGUGAAGUUGUUGAUGGGUUCAUCUAUGUUGCAAACGCUGAAGCUCAUAAAAGACAUGAAUGGCAAGAUGAAUUUUCUCGUAUUAUGGCAAUGACAGAUCCAGCUUUUGGAUCUUCAGGAAGACCUAUGCUGGUUUUAUCUUGUAUUUCUCAAGCAGAUGUAAAAAGAAUGCCUUGUUUUUAUUUGGCUCAUGAGCUGCGUCUAAAUCUUCUGAACCACCCAUGGAUGGUCCAGGAUACAGAGGCUGAAACUCUAACUGGUUUUUUGAAUGGCAUUCAGUGGAUUCUUGAAGAAGUAGAGUCUAAGCAUGCAAGAUGAUCCUUCUUUUAGACCUUGAGAACUGAAACCAUUUGAAACCUGUUACUGAGGUCAUGAUGUGGAUAUUUGCUCAGUCAGCUCAUUUUGUCCUGCCUUUUUGCAGAAUUUGUAUUAAUAUGAAUGAUAAGUUGUUGAGACUCUAGCUUCUGCUAUUUUUUUCUGAUAAGUGUUAUUUCUGUUGUUUAAACAAUUAACAUGGUUAAACGUAAAUUGCAAACUCUGUUUCUUGGGCAACAGUUCCACAUUCAGUUUAUCUUUUUUCUCCAAAUGAGCACCUUAAGUUGGUCUUUCACACAAAGUUUAGCCAAAGAUAUAGACAGAGAAUUUAGUGAUUUUUUUUCCCCUGGAGUUUUCUUUUCUGAGAUGACUUCUUUCUUGGCCUGAACAAAAUCAAGACAUUUUUCUGCUUUUCAGAUCUGCUCUCUUGUCUUUUCCCAGAAUUCCUGUUGAGGGCUCAACAGUUUAUUUUCACAUUUGGAGUUCUUACAUUUGCAAUUUGGUAUAUCAAACAUAGUGUCAUGAAAAGUGUCAGUGUUGGGAGGUGCUUAGAUGGCUCAGUCGGUUGAGCAUCGGACUUCAGUUCAGGCCAUGAUCUUGCAGUUUACGGGUUUGAGUCCCACAUUGGGCUUUGUGUUGACAGUGUGGAGCCUGCUUGGGAUUCUCUGUCUCCCUCUCUCUAUCCCCCUCCCCCACUUGUGUUUUCUCUCUGUCAAAAAUAAAUAUUUAAAAAAAGUGUCAGUGGUAUUUUUCUUAUCCAGCAAAAUUUAUGACAGACCUGCUGUUCCAUCCACACGUACCCAGAAUAGGCAGUUGGUCCCAUAAGAGCAACAGUUCUUUGAGCACUAACGAGACCUGUUUUAUCCUUGGAAUUUAUUUAGACUUUUUGUACUUACUGCUCUUUGAUGGCUUAAAGUAUAAUUUUCAUUUUAUUCUGUUUUCUUAUUGCUGUAACGAUCAUUUGUGACCUACAUUCUAUCUGAAAGUAAGCAAAAUUCUUAGCGGUUUUUAUACUGUCUCUUAAACACCGUAUAAUUUCUAGAUCAGUGUUUAUUUGUCAAAAAGUUUCUAGCAUUAUGUAUACACAGUAGCUGGACUAUAUUGAUCAUUACUAUACAUUGAGAAGAGUUCUCAUGUCUUAUUUCCCCUUGAUUUUCUGUAUUAUUUCAUUUUUACUAUAAAGUAUGAGGACUUUUUUUUUUUUUUCCUCUCAAGGAAAUUAUAUUUGCCUUCACAUUCUUUGAUCCUUGGAAGAGGUCCUCAGCAACUUUUCAUAACAUUUCAGAUCUGACCCUUGCUACAGUCUCAACAA